rnacentral:misc_RNA from 1 species
CAUCACCUAUAGAUCUAGAUACCUAAACCCAAAAAACCAAGAGAAACAGAAGAAAAGGGAAACAAAAAAGUAACUAAUCAAUAACAAAUUUUAAUGCACACAUGCACAAGAAAUAUAGGGGAAAGUGAUAGUUUAACUGGAAAAUCCUAGUAGAUGAAUUAAUUUGAAUUUUACAUCAUAGUGUCAUACACAGCUUGCACAAUGAGUUUGGCAUCUGAAAGAUACACAUAUAAAAAAUGUGAAAAGUUGAAUCACAUCCAAUUUGUUUGCCAAAAAUGGAUCAAGAAGAAGAAUUCUAACCUGAACCAUAAAGGAGCUACUCUUCUCUCUCUCUCUCUCAUUUUGACUGCCCAAAUCCGCCUAUGUGAAAUUAACAAAACAUAGCCAAUCCCAAGUCCAGAAAAAGGAGAAGGGUUGCAAUAGGUCUCAUUCAUUUCUCAUGAUAUAGAUCUUUAUAUCUAACAGAGCAGAAUAACGAAAAUUAAUUGAUAUAGCCGACCCCAACUAGUUUGG